GGCGGGUAGCGGGGUGGGACUCCGCGUCGGGGAGAGGCAGCCUGCGCAGGGCCGAGGGGCGGCCGGGAGCCGGGCUCCGGGAUUGCUGCGGGGGACGGCAGUUGCGCCACAGCGUCGGUGUCCUCGUACCGGCGCCGUGCCCUUGGAACGAGGGCAGGACCGCGGGCAGCGCCGGGCCAGCGCGGAGCCCCUCCACGCUGCUGCGCUCCUGCGUCCCUGGCCCUCGGGCCAGGGUGUGCCCUCAGGAGGAUGGGAUAGAGAUAAAGUGUGAACUUACAAACCUGGCAGAGAGCAGGCACCUGGGAUGCAGUGGGCUGGUGGAAGAAAGAUGGCCUCAGUACUCCCAUCGAAGUAACAGUAUGUUCCAGGAUGCAGUUGGAAAUUAGGUUGGAAUGGAUGGGAUCUAACAGGAACAGCUCUUGGAAGGAUGGGCUAUCUCAUUAGUACCUUACAACUUCCAAUGCAUUGUCACAUAUUGGAGUUGGGACCAGGGUGAGGCAAAAGAGGCCUUUAAGAGUCAUGCAAGUACACUGGCCUCUGUCCUGCCACAUGCCUUAUCUCACGUAAUACCCAUCUGACCCUUGUCUGGCUAUUUAGUUGGUUUCGGGGUGGAGAGAGCAGGGGAGGUAAGGAGCAGAGAUGGGAGAGAGGACAAGCUGGCAGAGACUCUUUCUCUAUGAAAAGCCUUGCCUGAGUCACUCCUUCCCUCACACUUGCAUGUUACUCCAUCCAAACGAAACCAGCCCCUUUUGUGACUUCACAAAAUCUAUACUCACACUCCCUGUCACUGAACUCCAGGUCCAGAAAACUAUGCCCCCUGUGUUUGGCUUUAGGCCAAUGUCGUGAGAUAUUCCACACAGACAUGUGCUGUAUCUUCUUUUAAAUGUUGUGACUUUUGACCCCACAAAUCUAGAAUUUGUCAUCUUUCAAAAAGAGUUCUGUGAUUUCUUUUUUUUUUUUUUUUUUUUUUUGAGGCAAGAGUCAAACUUUUUUUCCUCCUUGAAUUCCUAAGUGCUUGCUGGUAAGAAGGAUGCAGUUUUAAAGAACCCCAGCUUCUCCAUUCCUCACACCUGUAUACUGAUGACUUGGAGACUAACAUCUUCCAUUGCUAGGCUUAGGAAUGAAGUUUUGCCUCUGAAGGGAGUUGUGCAUUUGUAACUGUCAUUCAACCAAUGGUGAAAGAGUCACUGGUCCAGGGCCAAUGUGCUCUGCUGCCUCCGGGAAAGCAUAAGACAUCAGUCUGUGGAAGAGGGCACUGGUGGUUUCCUUCCCUCCAAGAGGACAUAGUUCAGUUGGGUACAUACUGCAUUUCCCAGAUUUUGAAUACACACGUUUUAAGGCUUCCAAAAUCAGGUAUCUUUUGACAUGGUAAUUCCUUUUCCUCCCCCAAUUUUUAAUUUGGUAAAUAUGUACAAUUUAUAUGCUCUUAACAUUUUUAAAUUUGAAAAUCGAGAGCAAAAUCUUAUAGCCUAAACAACAGGAGUGGUAAGAAUUUGGUGGUGGUGAACAACCAGAAAAUCUGGAGUCCCAGCCAUGUCCACUGCUAGGACCCAGAGAAGCCUAGCCUGGACUGGCCCAGCUGCCGGGCUGAUGAGUGUGACCUCUGAGGUGAUAAAAUAACACCCAUGUGGGAGGAAUGGCCAAUAAGAAGGACAUGCCAGCCCCACCUUAGAAAAAGGCAUGAGUAGAAAUGAAGGUGCUAUAUCACUAAAAAUGAUGACAUUGGGCCCCAAGCAUCCGAUUUUCUCUGGCACCUGGCUAAGACAGGCAUAGAGGACAGGGCCGGUUGGGGUGUAGUCAGAGACACCCUCCCUAUUCUGUGGCAUUGCUUUGGCCUGUAGCAAAGUGUUAAAAUGGGACUCUUCCUACUUCAGUUUCAACUGAGUUCCCAAGACAAUCAAUGCCAGCUACUCCCACUUCCAAAAUGCGGAACACAAGAGCUCCUUGAAAAUGAUUUUGUGUACCUUCUCCAGCCACUGUCCACCUCAAGGAAAGUGCAUGGAUUGAUACAGAAGAGGACUCAAAGUUGGAGUUCUAGGAUUGAGUUGUCAACAUUGUGAUCAGUUUUCCUCCCCAUACCAUGGAGAGAGGACAUGCCUUGCUCCUGUCUCUUAAGUCCAGUGACUAGGGCUUACCUGAGACCACACACAGAGCUUGAUAUCUGUCCCUGGAGCUUGUGGAACACAGGAGACUGCCCACUGGUGAGCAGCUGGCUGAAGAGGCCUAUUGUAGAGGACAUUUCCAUUUGGAAGUCACUCCCUCUUGCCUAUAUCAUGGCAAGGGAGUGUGUGGCAGAUUGAGUUUCCUGGAAGAUGACUCUGAGGGGGAAGAUUAGCAUGAGGAAGGUUUAUUAGAGUGCUCUUGGGAUAGCACCCAGAGGAGGAAAGGAGAAGAAGCAGGAUCAGAGAGAAGUGGACCCCCACUGCCCGGAUCUGAAGCUGGGAUGGCCCUUCAGAGUUGUCCCAAGGCAGAGUCAAGGGGCCUUUCUACCCCUGCCAUAGAUUGGUCAUUGUUCCUGGCUGACCUUGGGGAAAGGCUGUGACCUUGAGCAACAGCAUCUGGGGGAAUGUGUCCUUCAUUCCUAAGGGGAGAUCUGGGCAGGGAUCACAGGGUCCAGUAUGGCAUAUGGCAUGCAGGUACCAGAUGUGGAAACUGCAAGAAGAAUAACCACCUAGGGCCAGGCACAGUGGCUCACAUCUGUAAUCCCAGCACUUUGGGAGGCUGAGGCAGGCAGAUAACUUGAGGUCAGGAGUUCGAGACCAGCCUGGCCAACAUGGUGAAACCCUGUUUCUACUAAAAAUACAAAAAUCAGCCAGACAUGGUGGUGGGUGCCUGUAAUCCCAGCUACUCAGGAGGCUGAAGCAGGAGAAUCACUUGAACCUGGGAGGCAGAGGUUGCAGUGAGCCGAGAUCACACCACUGCACUCCAGCCUGGGCAACAGAGACUCCACCUCAAAAAAAAAAAAAAAAAAAGAAUAACCACCUAGAAUUAAAGGAAAAAAAAAUUUAGAGAUGAGGGUCUUGCUAUGUUGCCCAGGCUGGAGUGCAGUGGCUAUUCACAGGUGUGAUCAUGGCACAUUGUAGCCUUGAACUCCUGGGCUCAAGAACUUCUCCUGCUUCAGCCUCCCAAGUAGCCACUGUGCCCAGCAAUUUUUAAGGGGACUCUGUCCACAUGGGCUUCUUCAAAAAGACCUUGGCAGAAAAAGGUGGAGGCCCAACUGGAGAUAGAGGCUGAAGGAGGACCAUAAGUGACCAGCUGAAGGAGAGGCCCCUUUGGACUCUUGAAGACUGCAGUCCCAGGGGACCAAGAGGGUUCCAUACAAGGUGACAAAGGUACCAAAGAGGGAAGCACCAGCCAUGGCCAGGGAAGGUCAAAGAGAUACUUCAUCCAUGCUAGAAACAAAGGAUGGAAGGAGGAUGGAAGGAGGGA
rnacentral:lncRNA from 1 species